ACGCACGCUGGCGGCGUGCUUCACACAUGCCAGUCGAACGGAAAGGCCAUGCUUUUGUGGGGUGCUCGAGUGGCGAACGGGUGAGUAACACGUGAGUAACCUGCCCUUGACUUUGGGAUAACUUCAGGAAACUGGGGCUAAUACCGGAUAGGAGCUCCUGCUGCAUGGUGGGGGUUGGAAAGUUUCGGCGGUUGGGGAUGGACUCGCGGCUUAUCAGCUUGUUGGUGGGGUAGUGGCUUACCAAGGCUUUGACGGGUAGCCGGCCUGAGAGGGUGACCGGCCACAUUGGGACUGAGAUACGGCCCAGACUCCUACGGGAGGCAGCAGUGGGGAAUAUUGCACAAUGGGCGGAAGCCUGAUGCAGCAACGCCGCGUGCGGGAUGACGGCCUUCGGGUUGUAAACCGCUUUCGCCUGUGACGAAGCGUGAGUGACGGUAAUGGGUAAAGAAGCACCGGCUAACUACGUG
rnacentral:rRNA from 1 species